CACCGAGUCCGCACCGACCAGCGAUCCCCGCACACUAACACAUCCCUACACACACCGGGGCCAAUAUUUACGUUUACACCAAGCCAAUCAAGCUACA